UGGGGAAUAUUGGACAAUGGGCGAAAGCCUGAUCCAGCCAUGCCGCGUGUGUGAAGAAGGUCUUCGGAUUGUAACGCACUUUAAGUUGGGAGGAAGGGCAGUAAGCGAAUACCUUGCUGUUUUGACGUUACCGACAGAAUAAGCACCGGCUAACUCUGUGCCAGCAGCCGCGGUAAUACAGAGGGUGCAAGCGUUAAUCGGAAUUACUGGGCGUAAAGCGCGCGUAGGUGGUUCGUUAAGUUGAAUGUGAAAGCCCCGGGCUCAAACUGGGAACUGCAUCCAAAACUGGCGAGAUAGAGUAGGGCAGAGGGUGGUGGAAUUUCCUGUGUAGCGGUGAAAUGCGUAGAUAUAGGAAGGAACACCAGUGGCGAAGACGACCACCUGGGCGCAUACUGACACUGAGGUGCGAAAGCGUGGGGAGAAAACAGG
rnacentral:rRNA from 1 species